rnacentral:rRNA from 1 species
GUUCAGAACGUCGUGAGACAGUUCGGUCCCUAUCCGUCGUGGGCGUAGGAAAUUUGAGAGGAGCUGUCCUUAGUACGAGAGGACCGGGAUGGACAUACCUCUGGUGUACCAGUUGUCGUGCCAACGGCAUCGCUGGGUAGCUAUGUAUGGACGGGAUAAGUGCUGAAAGCAUCUAAGCAUGAAGCCCCCCUCAAGAUGAGAUUUCCCAACUUCGGUUAUAAGAUCCCUCAAAGAUGAUGAGGUGAAUAGGUUCGAGGUGGAAGCGUAGCGAUACGUGGAGCUGACGAAUACUAAUCGAUCGA